UACGAAGGGGGCUAGCGUUGCUCGGAAUUACUGGGCGUAAAGCGCACGUAGGCGGCUUCUUAAGUCGGUGGUGAAAUCCUGGAGCUCAACUCCAGAACUGCCUUCGAUACUGGGAAGCUCGAGUCCGGGAGAGGUGAGUGGAACUGCGAGUGUAGAGGUGAAAUUCGUAGAUAUUCGCAAGAACACCAGUGGCGAAGGCGGCUCACUGGCCCGAUACUGACGCUGAGGCACGAAAGUAUGGGGAGCAAAACGG
rnacentral:rRNA from 1 species